rnacentral:rRNA from 1 species
UUGCGUGAAGAGCAAGUCAGGCUGGAAGGAACUAUUUAUCCGAUCGGUUCGGCUCGGCGCAGGGAGGAUGCCUCAGGGUGGAGCGGCGGCGGUUUGGGAGCGGGGAGAAGGUGGCCUCGGGUGGCUCGAGAGGGUGAGGUCUUUAAGAGGCUCGCCCUCGAGCGGGGGAGGUCGCGACGCAGGAGGAGGUCGAGGUCUCCCCGACCACAAGCGCUCUAAGGGCAACCAAGGGCGCUGGGGCGCGCGUCAUAGGGGACCCGCCCGAGCAGGCGGUACAAAGGCGGGUUUCCAGGGUUAGGGAUGCCCGUCGUCGGUGGUAUGCCGCCCGUCGUUAGAAUGCCGCCGGUUUAGGGACCAUCGUCACCUAAACCCCGGAGUCGACGCCGUCCACGGGCGCGGCCUGUCCCACGACGACCCGUCAUACCUCCCGGAAUGCGCAGCCACAUACCGUGUGUCGUCCAACCCCCUCAACCACCGUUUCCCAGAUUGAACCGUUCUGGUUUGCUACUGAUAUACCGACACGCACCUAUACGUGUCUUCGAUCUGGUCAUACCAUGGCUAAUGUGUAGUCUCUCUUCUUACAUACCACUUGUGAGUCGAUUAGAACCGUCCUCCCUACCGGAAUGACUAAACCUAUCUUCUAUAGGACUAGUAUAUGGACGUCGGGUAGUCUAAGUACUGGCACAUCUCGUCCCAAGUUGUUACGCGGUAGUCGGUGAAGACUUUCGAGUCGACCGCGGACACAGACUAUACUCUGUUCGGCUAAUGAAACGUCCUUCCAGGCGAGGUUAGGUAGUUCUUAGAGUCCUUUAACCAUGUAUACCUUCCCGACUUCGACUGGUAGCGUUGAACAGGUAAGAACCCUUACAAGGUAUACCUCCUGUUGUCUGUAGUAGUAACAACCCACCGCGGGGAUCCUGUUUGUAACUAUCAGAACCGAUACCCGUUCCUAGUAGUUCGUCACCAAUACCCUACUCAGACGGGGGACCAGCACUGAUACGGAGCCCCUUUCCGGAAGAGGUAGGUAGAAGUCUAAGACUAAUGGCACUGUUGUAGAAUGGGGCACGUGCAGUUCCGUAGAGGUACCAGCUACUUGCACGUUAACUGGCCUAACCAAUAGCAGCACUCGACCUAGAUUCUCUACUCCUUGCAGCUUCCCUAGACGAUGAACUUUCCCUUUUCCUCGAACUUGCCCUUGCCCUUGCCCUCAACGCUCUGGAAGCUCUGGCACUUUCUCUUUCUCUGGCACUUUCUCUUUCUCUUGCACUUUCCCUUUCCCUGGCACUUUCUUAUUCCCUUGCACUUUCUCUUUCCCUCGCCCUCGCAGUUUCCCUUGUACUUUCUCUUGCAGAAGCGCUCGCGGCGCUCUUCCUCUUCCUCGCCUUGUUCUUCGUACAUCGACUAAGUUCCGCACUCGCGUGAGGUGGAUCUUGGGGACCACUAGCUGCUGCAAGAAGAAGACAAUCCAGACUCUUCGGAAACGCCGCGGAAAGUGGAGCUGCACUACGACACGUAUCCGUAGCAAGUGGAUAAUUUCUUUAUUUCGCUCUUAUAAACACGUUCCAAAACGGUAAAGCAAACCACCUACUCCUCUCUCUGACAAAUAGAAACUGUUUUUCUAUAGGAUCCGAUAGUCAAUAAGGUCUAAAAAGAUUCUAACAGAACUUGACCCGAUUUCUUUCGGAUUUAGAAAGCGACGUAUGUGGUCACUCGGACCUCGUACGGUAGACACUUCUACUGCUAUUUCGACUACUUUCGCGUGACCAGAGAAGACUCUUAUGUAGUUCGUGUUUCUGGGGACUUUGCUAAACCUUACGUUUCCAUGAAGACUACUCGCCAUACUCGUUACCGCGGAAACGACUGUAUUGCAGCUACUCUUCAUGACUCCUUGCUCACCACGUGAACUUGUUAUAGAAUUUUAAACGACAUAAGUUCUUCCUAGCAAGUGAAGAACGAUAACCUCCGGGAACCUUACGUCGUGAACUACCACCUCUAGGUCACCAACUGACAAGAACGAACUAAGCUUGCCGAUAGUCUAUACACUUCCUUGACCAAGUUCAGCUAGAUAGAUUAACAUGGUCAACCUUAGCAAAGGAGCUCCAGGUAAUGUUGUCUCAACCGUUACUACCUGAAAAAUCAGUGUUUCUUUAAUGACAUGACAAACACGGUUUGGACAGCCUUACGCAUGGUAGAUACCUAUAUACCUCCCUGUUGACCUAGCGUAUGGCUUUUAGUUUCUAUCUUUCCCUCCUCGACUAAUACUUCUUCCUUUUCUCGGGUCCACUAGGUUUCCUUGUCUUUGUUCAAAAUCUCCUCGGUUCGCUACGAUUUUCAUGCUUACUAGUUAACUUCCUCCCACUACCACGACGAUUCUAACUCUUUUAACUACGACUAUACCUUUACUUCCUCCCACUACCACGACGGUUCUAACUCUUUUAACUACGACUUUACCUUGACUUCCUCCCACUACCACGACGGUUCUAACUCUUUUAACUACGACUAUACCUUCUCGUCCCGUUUCUACCUCUACAGUUAGAACGACCACUACCACCCUUCUUAGGACUGUUACAACCCCUCGUUCAACUCUUCUGCCACCCCCAACAACUUCUUUUGUGAAGACCACUACGAAGACAACUGGUACAGUGACUCCUAUUUUUCGGGUACUUUUUCUUUUAUUAUUUUUUCCAACACUUUCAACAAGCUUUUUUCGGUUGACGACUUCGAGGUCACCUAUUUAGUGGAGUCCAACUGUUCUUACGACACCGUCUUUGACGCUCGUUUUGGCAGCUUUUCGUGUAACUUGUCUUUUCACUCCUAGAACCCUUUCUCUUCCGCCCUCGACCGUAGCAAGUUGUCGGACUCCGAUUCUUUUGACCCUUCUUCUUCCAGUAAGCGUCCUAACAAUUUUCUUUUCAAGGACGAAGUCGCUGACUCGGUUGUCGGGAACGACGUGGACGACUCCGUUCAUUUGUUCUACACCUACAAGUCGGCCUCUUCUAACAACUUCCGCAGUGACUGCGACCCUUAAGUGUCUGAUUCGACCUUCUUCCUAACUUUUGAGGACGACUUCUAUAAAGUUUGGUCUUCUUUCUUCUUCCUAACUUUUGAGGUCGACUCCUAUAAAGUUUGGUCUUCUUUCUUCUUCCUAACUUUUGAGGACGACUUCUAUGGAGUUUAGUCUUCUUUCUUGUCCUCGACCUCUAUUUCCCUCUGUAUUACUGACUACUAGUUUUCCGUUUAUGUCUAUUCCAAUUGGUCGUCCUUCAACACCUUGUCUUUCUAGGUUUUUAACUACUUUGUCUGCCCUUCUCACAGUUCUUUUGCCUACUGUUGCUUUGUUUCCUAUUUCUGGUCUUCUACCUGAGUUUCUUUUUCAGCGGGUAACUGUGGUUUCUUUUCUUCUUCAGACUACUUGGAGGAUUUGUGGGUCCUAAGUAAGAGGUCCGGUUUUUCUCGUUUCUUAUAUUUGAGGCCAGUUGUAGGGAAAGUAACCUACCGGAGGACCUGAUGUGGCGGUUACUAUGUCUCCUCAGACAUAAACUCGAAAGAAACAAACGACUCAGAAAGUCGCUUUACGAAGUUAUGUCUUACCCAACACACUAGGACAGAAAAGAACUCUUUGAAAUGUCCGUCAUACAACACUCCUCCUUAGUUGCAUUCGCGGUUUCUCUCCUUCUAGAUUUCUUCCUUCUGUGUUAUAGGAACCUCUUCGCUGAUUUCUGUUGACUACUUUUACAUUGACCUUCAUGGAGUCCAUUGGGUCCAUUUUUACUACUUUGUUAUUUUCUCCCACCUCUUUUCUAUUAACCACUAUUAAGUAGUCGAAGGGUACUCGUUGACCAUUUUCUCCUACUGCUCUUCUACUCAUGUCUAGUACGACGGGUCCUACUUUACUACUUUCUCCCACUCCUUUUCUAACUGCGUCUAGUCAGUCGUCGACGGACACUACUUGGAUUUCGACUACUCUUUUACCUCCUUCUUCUAGGACUUAUACUUCUUCUAGGGCUACUUCAUCUUAUACUUCCGCUGCUCCUGUACCUACUACGGUGACGACUUCUCGGCCGUCUUCGUGUCUUACUCCUAUUGAGUUUGCUUUCUCUUUGGUUCGGUCUUCUCCAUUGACGUCUUCUACUACCUUUCUCCUGUUGCCUCUUAGAAUUCAACCUUUUUCGUCUUCUCCUGUUCGUCAGACAUCGUCUCUUUCCUCUAAACUUUCUUCAACUUCUCUUUAGACAACCAUUCCUCCCUUUCUAUAGACCAAGUGUUUUUCCUCUAAGUCGCUUUGUACUACACCAACUAUUCCUGGACAACGUCCGAAAAUCCAUGAAGCUGGUUUUGUCUCAACCAAUAUAUUUCCACCUACUAAAUUCCACGUAGGAAGUGUUGAACCCCUUUAAAAAUAGGUUGUCCCUACACUUCCUGUACCAAGUUUAACGAGAACGACUCUCGUUAAGACGUUCCCUACCAGCGUAAUAGAUAUGUUUCGAACAGUUCUUUCGACUGGAGACUAGACCUGGACCAAAACCGGGAUCGUCGAUCAACUCAAUACCUUGAACAAACAACCUCUAAGAACUGUCACUUAGCUACUAGUUACCUUUCAGUGGGCUCAUCACAUGAAGGUACAUCGACCCUCGAUCAAAAACAAAGAAACUUACUUAUAAACAAUUACUUGACUAUAGCAAACAUACAACUGGAUGAUCCUUUUAAAGUAAUCUAAAAAAAGUGUGUCGUUUGUAUUACCGGAUUAUUAUUAUUGUAAAGGACCACAACAUAAAAAAUAAAAGAAAACCGCGGUGUGUUAAUUAGAACAC